CUUUGAGUAUCUGACGUACACAAGGCAAAGGGCGCGUUUUGGCGCUGGUGACCGGGGGUGACCGGGGGUGACCGGGGAUGGCCGGGAAGAUGAAAGAGCACUGAAACUGUCCCAUUUCCUGGCACCUCAACCCUUCAUAAAUACGGGUCCAUAUACAGAGGCUCCAGUUUACACAAGACAAAAAUGGCGUGGAGCAUCUGUUGUCCAUGGUUCUUGUCCAUGUGCCAACUUGGAGAGUACAUCUGGUUUGCUAGUUUGAUACCCUGUUCAUGAGGAAAGACAAACACAAACAUCCUGAAUUGGAGUCCAGUAUGUCAAGAUGGAAAAAUAAUACAUUCGAUGAAGAAAACAAUUUCAAAAAUCCACAGAUUUAAGGGUUCAAUCCUACAAGACUGCCUCCUCUUGAGUUCCUCUGCCCGGCCGCCCCACUGUCUGGGAAGUGAGAAGCGCCUCUGCCUAGCCGCCCACCAUCUGGGAAGUGAGGAGCACCUCUGCCCGGCCGCCCCACACCACCGCCGCCAUCUGGGAAGUGAGGAGUGCCUCUGCCUGGCCCCCGCAACGUCUGGGAAGUGAGGAGCGCCUUUGCGCGGCUGCUGUGCGACCCUCCAAGUGUGAAGUGACAGCCUUGUGUGUGAUCUUUCUGCCCUCCCCAAGUUUGCAUUUUCGACAUUAAAGUUUACUUUUCAAUUAAAAUUUUUAAAUUGGAGAAUAUAUAAUUUAAAAAAAAAAAAAAAAGACUGCCUCCUCUUAAGAUGCCAGUCACAAGUCCUGGGCUACCAGUAUUUCUGACUAACUGGCUAUAAAUUAGAGGCUCCCACAAACCCCUCCUCAGGUUUGAUAAUUUACUAGAACAGCUCAUAGAACUCAGGAAACACUUUACCUAUGGUACCUAGUUAAUAAUAGAGGAUAUAACUGAGGAACAGCCAGACUGAAGAAAUGCAUAGGGCAAGAUAUGGAAGAGGGUGUGCCAAGCUUCCAUUCCUCUCUGCGUGUGGCAUCCUCCCAGCACCCUGGUAUGUUCACAAACCUGAAGCUUGUUCAAGAGUACAAAAAAUUAGCC
rnacentral:lncRNA from 1 species